CAGGAUGUGUAAAGCUAACAUGCAUCGCAAAACCCAAAAGGUAACCUAAAUGUCUGAUUUUAAUAGCACAUUUCUCUUUUACAUAAACUGUGACGGCAACUUGCAUAAACUUUAUUGAGACAAUUCUUCCAGUGUUAAUUUUAAUGUAAAAAAUGUGCACACACACAAAAAAAAAUGUUUAAAAUAAACAUUAAAAAAAAAAACCAACCGACCAACCACGUGGUAAUGCAUAAUUAGCAAUAACUUUAACACUGUGCCCUUUGAAAAUGCACUGUAAUGUAACGUGGGCAAAGAGGAAUCGGCGAGCUUAAAUACCAAAAGAUGUAAAAUGAGAACGGAUGUAGAUAGUGCUGCUGCUGCCAAAACAUUCUGCUCAGUUAUUUCCAAACGUGAAGCGAUGGCCCUUUGUAGACCCCACUAUUGAUACCCACUGUGAAAUGUUCCGAGCUCAGCUUAAGUUGCAUGUUUUCCUUCCUGUGUAAUUGCAUGCAGGACUCUGUUCUGUUGCUUUGUGCUCACGUUGAGGAUUCUGACGGGUGCCUUCAAUUUGCAGGAGCGCAGAGCGGCUGGCGGCGGAGCGAGGGCUGGAGGCAGGAAGGGGCAGCGCGCACUGGACCCACAAAUAAAUCGGUGCUGCCGAAGGCCACCACCACCAGUGACGCCCCUGCGGAGGUCACAGAAUGGAGGGGGCUUUGCUGGGUGCGUGCUUACAGCUCUCCCACUGAGAUCCCAUGGAGAAGGAAAGGAGGCUUGGUGGGUCUGAGGAAAGGGCAUCGGGAUAAGACCUGUUUCUUGGAGCUGGUUCCUGGCUGAGAUGCUGGCUUUCAUGCGGGCGCUCACAGCCGCAAGGUAGCACUGAAGUUGUUGUUACCCCGUGCUCUAGAAAUAGAGCAGCCCAAGGGGGAAUGUGUAGAAAUGCAGUGAUAUCAUAGAACCGUGGAAUGGUUGGGUUGGAAGGGACCUUACAGCCCAGGCAGUCCCAACCCCUGCUGUGGACUGGCUGCCCAGGGCCCCUCCGUGGAUGGGGCACCCACAGCUCUGGGCAGCACCUCUGGGGUCUCACUGCCCUCUAGGGAGAGAGUUUCCUCUUCACGUCUCACCUAAAUCUCCACUCUUUAAAGCCUUUCUCCCUUGUCCUAUUGAUAUCAUGCCAUGUACACGUCGCUCUCCCCCCAGUUUAUGAACUCCCCCAGUUUAUGAGCUCCCCCAGGUACCGGGCACUGUCACCGCUCACCGGUGAUACCGGGUUGGGACGAGCCCAGCGCGGAGCCCCGGCACCCGUGGGUCGCCUUUGGGCGCUGGUACCGCUCGGC
ensembl:lncRNA